UAAUUUAAAGUCUAGCCUGCCCAAUGAUUAUUAAUUGAAUGGCCGCGGUAUUUUGACCGUGCUAAGGUAGCAUAAUAAUUAGUUUUUUAAUUGAGAACUGGUAUGAAUGGUUGGACAAAGAAAAUUCUGUCUCAAGUUUAAUUUAAUUAGAAUUUUAUUUUUAAGUAAAAAAGCUUAAAUGAUUUUAAAAGACGAGAAGACCCUAUAGAGUUUUAUAUUAUUUAUUAUAAUUAAUUUAAGGAAUUAUAUAUUUUUUAUAUUAAAUAGUAUUUUGUUGGGGUGACAAAAAAAUUUAAUUAACUUUUUUUAUAUUUUAUCAUUAAUUUAUGAUUAAGUGAUCCAUUUUUUAUGAUUAUAAGAUUAAAUUACCUUAGGGAUAACAGC
rnacentral:rRNA from 1 species